CAGAUAAAGGGAGGGAAAUUCUAAUUCAUUUCUCCUUUGAAUUCUAAUAUAGGUUUUGAAAAAUGUUUUCUUUCAUCACAAAGAGAACUUGAGGAAAGGUCCUGAGUCCUCCACCCCAGGCGAGGACUGCAUUCUAGCUGAAGUCGGAUUACCUGUUCCAGCACCUGUCCUCACACAAGUCUGGAGUGAAGAGGCACACAAAUCAAGAACUAGAUUAAAGAAUCUUACUUUUCUCUCUAAAUCUGCAAAAGAAGAAGGGACUCAGAUUCUGAUGCACAAGGACACCGACACAGAAAACAGAGGAUGUCGCUGUAACCCAGGUCCUGCUGAGAAUCAAGCUAAGUGCAGCCACCAGGGCCAUGAGUCAAAUGUUUAAAGAGUGUGGCUCACGCCUGUAAUCCCAGCACUUUGGGAGGCCGAGGCGGGUGGAUCACGAGGUCAAGAGAUCGAGGCCGUCCUGGUCAACAUGGUGAAACACCAUCUCUACUGAAAAUACAAAAAUUAGCUGGGCAUGGUGGUGCAUGCCUGUAGUCCCAGCUACUCGGGAGGCUGAGGCAGGAGAAUUGCUUGAACCCAGGAGGCGGAGGUUGCGGUGAGCCGAGAUCGCGCCAUUGCACUCCAGCCUGGGUAACAAGAGCGAAACUCCAUUUCAAAAAAAAAAAAAAAAAACCGAGUCUGGAGACAGUCGCGAUGCAUGAAAAUGUGACAGAAAGACCCUAAAGAACACACUUGAAGCCUUAAUCCAACUACCAAUAGGUAAUGGUGGGGAAUAUUGUAACCCCACAGUAAUUGGGUUCCUCAACUCAUGAGGAACUGGGGGAGGGGCUUGCACACUGGAAAUAAAUUGUUGAAACCAUCCCAGAUGUCCCUGCAUGCCAGACACAUGAUCUAUUGUAAGAUUGUAAUUGAAAGUCUCUUUUUUGCUGUUCUCCAGGUCUCUGAGUUCAUUCUUUGGGUUUGGAUGGUGGGUUUGGGUUUGUUUCUCACAACCCUCGCUUCAUUAUCCUUAUCUGUGCAUUUCCCUGGUGACCCUGUACUCCCCCGGUACCUCCCUCACUAUCAUAUCUGCUGCAUCACAGACACAGGCAUGCAGGUAGGUGUGGUUGUAAUUAAGCUUCUUUCCGACAUCCCACCCCUUCUCACCCUGCUGGGAAACUUGAUGGGAGGGGCUUAGAAUCAGGAAUGAAGCCAGAGCAUGGGGCUGACAAGGAAUAUUUAAAUGUUACAACUCCAAGAGAUUCGCACAGAAGCCUGGACACAAUUCGAGAGAGCUGCCCAGAGGGGAAUAACAAUGUCACCACUAACUGAAUUGAAAAGGCACAGUGGUCAGUAAUGUCAAGCCACACAGAAAUAAGGAAGAGGGAGAUUUUAUGACAUAAGCAUAUGAACUUUUCCAUUGUGAAUGUUCUACCGAAAGUUGUGGGUGUAUUGAAGAGAAAUCCUACAGAAAUAGCAUCUGAGAUGCCUGUGGGGUGUGGGGUGUGGACCCUGAGCCAGUGUAACCCUCUGUGAACCUGUGACGGUGUGUGAUGAGAGUGAACUCUGCUAACGAUGUGACUUUAGGAGGGAGGUGGAUGCCUCACCAGGAUGGGUAGGUGGGUGCCUGAGUGUAUGGGGGCGACUGUGCUUUGUCUUCAUGACUGUGAUGUCAGUGCGUGUGUGAGCACAGCCGGACCAGUGAAUGAGCAUCUUUACAUGCACAGUGAGCAGGCGUGUGAAACUCAGUGAGUGGCAUGGCUUUGCGUGUCUGUGUGCGUGUGUGCUGGGAUGUGACUGAGUGUUGAACUGGGAACACGCACAUGGCCUUCUGUGCAUGUGAAGUUUCCUCCCCACAUCGCAGCUGAUGAAGCAGCUGUGUAUCUUCCCAUGUGUGUCAAUGUGGAUCCCAAGUGGCAGAACUGGUGGGGAUCUUGGGGACCAUGAGGUAUCUCGAGGACUCAUCUCUGAGCAUUUGUGAGAGCAGAAUGCAUGGAUCCUCAGGUGCCUCUUCCCAAGCAGAGUGAGCAAGAGAAACAUAGUCUAUGGGGGCAGUAGAUUCUCAGGUGAGGGCUGCACAGAGCCUGGCUCCUGCCUCCCAGGCUCAAAGUCCCUGUCUCCCUUCACGUUGUGUGGCAGGAGGGUGAGCAGAUCCUGAUUUGCUAGGGAAGGACAUUGGGAAACUUGGGUUCAGAGAGGAAAUCACCCAAAACAAGAAAGGAACAUGUUUAGCUUCAGUUUAGGCAGAACCUACAGUGGCUAUUCAUCAACAAGUUUGCUGAGGCUCGUAAUUCCAGCAUUUUGGGAGGCCGAGGCGGGAGGAUUGUCUGAGGCCAGGAGUUGAAGACCA